rnacentral:rRNA from 1 species
AUACGAAGGUCCCAAGCGUUAUUCGGAAUCACUGGGCGUAAAGAGUACGUAGGCGGUUUGGUAAGUCAGGUGUGAAAUCCCGGAGCUCAACUCCGGAACUGCAUCCGAUACUGCCAGACUUGAGUAAUGGAGAGGCAGGUGGAAUUCUCGGUGUAGCAGUGAAAUGCGUGGAUAUCGAGAGGAAGACCAAUGGCGAAGGCAGCCUGCUGGACAUUUACUGACGCUGAGGUACGAAGGCUAGGGGAGCGAAAGGGAUUAGAAACCCUGGUAGUCC